GUGUCAGCCGCCGCGGUAAUACGGAGGGUGCAAGCGUUAAUCGGAAUUACUGGGCGUAAAGCGCACGCAGGCGGUUUGUUAAGUCAGAUGUGAAAUCCCCGCGCUUAACGUGGGAACUGCAUUUGAAACUGGCAAGCUAGAGUCUUGUAGAGGGGUAGGAAUUCCAUGUGUAGCGGUGAAAGUGCAGUAGAGAUGUGGAGGAAUACCGGUGGCGAAGGCGGCCCCUGCAGCAAAGACUGACGCUCAGGUGCGAAAGCGUGGGGAGCAAACAGGAUUAGAUACCCUGGUAGUCCACGCUGUAAACGAUGUCGAUUUGGAGGUUGUGGGCAUGACCCGUGGCUUCCGGAGCUAACGCGUUAAAUCGACCGCCUGGGGAGUACGGCCGCAAGG
rnacentral:rRNA from 1 species